rnacentral:lncRNA from 1 species
AUGGAGGACUUGGUUUAUUUCCCAAACUUCAGUAGAGACAGCAUUUACCUAACUCAGGAGGCUGCAGCGGAGGGAAGUGCCCGAUUUCGGCUGCGGUGGCCGCCCACCCACCUCCCCACGCCCGGCAGCACCCUUUCCUUCCCCUCACCUGUCCUGAGCACCGGGUCCUGGGGGUCGGGUCGCCUCUCCUGGUUCUCAGUCCUGAUCUCACUUCAGGAGCUGUCGGGACGUCCAGCGCCUCUGGAGGCGGACGAAGAAGGCGGUGGGGUCGGGGGCGUCAGCGGGAAUGUCAGCCGCCGCGGGCAGCCGCGGUCUCCCUCCCCAUCCCAGGGCUCGUGCGGCCACCGCGGGCUGAUGAGUCAGGCGAGGGGGCGGGCGGCGGGGGGCGCGAGCUGGCGGAGGGUGGGGGUGCCCCUAUGCCCGCGCCGGGGGAAGGCGGGCACCGGUGGCCUCCGGACAGGGGACGCGCCGCUGCCGGUGCUCGACACGGGCCGCCGCCACCGGGGCGCAGAGUCCCGGCACGCCUGCCCUCGGAGGGCAUUGGGCGCCGCGAGCCGGGCAGGGGCGAGGGAGUCCCGGCUCAGGCGCCGCCGCCGCCGCGGCCAAGAAAGACAAAAGGAACCGGGAACUGGGAGGGGAAAAGUUUUCUGCUCGGCUCCAGAUGGAUUCCAGCCCCAAACCUCACGCCUUAAAGCCCCGAAAAGGCGGGUUGGGGGCGGGGGCCGGGGCGGGCUUCCAGGGGCGUCGCUGCGCGCCGGCGAUCCCGGACGGAGCCAAGCUCGCCGCCGCCCCAAACCUGUGGGAACCCCCGGUCCUGCCGACCCUCCUCCUGGAGGACGCGGCAGCAUCCAGUCCUCCCUCUGCGGGACCCCAAGCCGGCCGAUCCGCGCCCCGGCCACAAAGUUGCACUUGGAGAGACCGAAUCACCCUCAGACAAAACCCAUCUUUAGGAACAAAGUCCCGCUUCUAGGUGCUCUUACCCCGCGGGAAGGCCGGCGUGCGGAAGCGGACACACCCACCCGCGGGGCCCGCCGCUCGCUACUGCGGAACCACGGGUCAGGAGCCAGGCACCCGGCUCCCCCAGUUCUCCGGAGCGGCGGGGGAGCUCCAGCCGACUCGGGGUGUUCCCAGAGCAGGCGCCGCAGGACCCCGGCUCCACGCCCCUCGGACGCUUUUUCGCCAGAUGCCGCCCGGAGGGUCGGGGUCCCCCUGGCGGGCUGCGCGGGCGCUGCGCGAGCAAAACCAGACCGGGCCCGAGAACACCCGGCCAAGGCCCGCCCCGUCCACUAG